AUGGCCAGUCGGGAAGGAGCCGUGACUCCUUACGUGCUGUCGGAUGCAACAAGCAAAUGCGACCCUCGCUCUGGGAGCCGGACUUUAUCACCCAAGCACGGCGGAAGGAGAGAGUCUGCAUCAUCGGUUUUGGGGAAGCUUCAAGAGAUGGAGAGUGUUUAUUUGCUAAAGGUGCCUCUCCGCUCUCUUCCUGAUGACAGGAUGGGCUGUGGGCAUAGCCAGCUGAUGGCCCCCAUGAGGUCCUGUCACUCUCGGGGUUUGGGGACGUUUGGCCAGCCAGGCUCCAGGCCCUGGAACCAAUGCUGUCGUCCUCUGUCUCCACUUGGGGCACUUGGGGCAGGGGGCGUGGGCUUCCUUCCCAGCAGUGAGGAUCCAGCUCUGCUCUCACCCGCACACGAACUUUGACCUUUGCAAUCCUACUCUUGCAGAAUUUUUGAGACAGUUGAAGAGGACAAUGGGUGUCAAGGUCCCGGCACUGUGGCUGCUCAAUAAAUGGCUGUUCUUUCCUUCUCUCUCUCUUCUGCCCUCAGGUCCAUUAGCUUUCAGUUUGCCUCCAGUGACAUAAAUAAUAAAUGACCUUUCCCCUUCCAAGGCUUAUCAGUCUUUAGACAGCCUGUUUUUAAAUAAAUAAAUAUUACUUGCAGAUUUCUCAUCCUUUCUCUUAAAAGGUUUUAAAAAAAAACCCUUCAGUAAUAUUAGAAUUUCCCAAGGGGACUAAAAAUCACAUUCAUUGCAUCAAAAGGGGUAGUCUCAAACGAGGGGGGGUCAUUUGCCCCCCUCCCCAGGAGACAUUUAUUGUUGCCACCACUGGGGGAUGGACGCUAUGCUGUCCGGUGGGUCAAGGCCAGGGCUGCUGCUGAGCAUCCUACAAUGCACAGGGCAGCCUUCCAACAACACAGAAUCUGGCCUCAAAUGCCAUUAGUGUCAAGGUUGAGGGACCCAGGUCUAAAUCAGCAGCCACAUGGAAUGAGAGCUUCUCCAUUGGAGGUGAUGGCCAUGACCAAGCCACCAAUGCUCUGGAUCGCCCUGCUCCUAGGAGGAUCUCUAAGAGAGAAGUCUGCAUCCGCCAAGUCCAGAAACAGAAUUCCUGAGCAAGUAAAGUCCUCUGCGUCCCUCCCUGAGCAUUUCCAGACUCUGGGUGUUGCAGGAACAGUUGGCCUCAGUGGUCGGAGGCCAGCCACAGACUACUGUUUCUCUGCUCUUGUGCUGUGUGCCACCGGGCAGGCCGCUUAGCAUCGCUGAGACCUAAGUAGGUCCACGUACGUCAGUGGUUCCCCAAGAGUGAGGUGAUUUUUUUUUUUUUUUUUUUUAGGAUUUUACAUAUGUGUUCAUGAGAGACACAGAGAGAGGACAGAGACACAGGCAGAGAGAGAAGCAGGCUCCAUGCAGGAAGCCCAGUGUGGGACUCGAUCCCAGGACCCCGGGAUCACACCCUGAGCCAAAGGCAGACGCUCAACCACUGAGCCACCAGGUGCCCCUAGAGGCGAUUUUGAUGGCACAGGGACCGUUGCUUUAACAGCAGACCAUGACAUGAAGUCAUCUUUCCCUUUUCCGUUUGCUUCCAAAUGUCUGGCUAAGUCACGGACAGAACCUCUGCUUGGUGCUGCUCUGCCUCUAACGCCUCUUUGACUUUCACUGAUCUCCCUCCUUAAGCCAGAGCAGCCAGACCCCAGGUUCAGAGCCAUGGACCCAUGACCUCCUGUCUGGCUGGAAUUUGGCACCCUGGGCUUACGGUCCUCAGGUUUUGUUGUGGCUACAGUCUUUUACAGCAGGCACUGCUGGUUUCCCAUUUUUGGUGGUGAAGUAAAGCUUCCUUUGAAAAUGAAGUUUAGAAAAAUAAACAAGUGGACUUAAAGAUAAGUAUUCAGUAAAUAGCAGCAUGCGUGGUACAUGGAAGUGGUGGGUUUGUGACGAGUGUUUCGAGAAUGCCUGGGGUUUGCAUCCCACUUUUAUAGCUUCUUAUUUUAUUUUAUUUUAUUUUAUUUUAUUUUAUUUUAUUUUAUUUUAUUUUAUUUUAUUUUAAUUUAUUUAUUUUGUUCUAUUAAGUAGGCUCUAUGCCCAACAUGGGGCUUGAAUUCACUACUCCAAGAUCAAGAAUUAUGUGCUCCACUGACUAAGCCAGCCAGGCGUCCCAAGAACGGCAGGGGUUUGGAGCUCAGUUGUUCAGCUUCUUCAUAUGGAAAGGAAAUAACAGUCCAUCCUCCUGGGCAAUUGGGUUGGGGUAACAAUCGAGCAGCAUGGGGUAGGGGAAAGCACUUGUUCCUGGUCCACUAUGCACCUGCAAGGUGCUGCUGUCCAUGCGACCUUCUGCAAAGUCAGUCCCCCGUCUCAGGUUUAGGGUUGCAUGUGCCUGCUUAUGCUGUUUUGCUUACACCAUCAUCCUGGCCUGGGAGUCAGGGCGCCUGUGUUUCAGCCCUAACUCGGGGGGAGGGGUCAGUCCCAAGCGGGAGCAGAUGUAGUAUCCAUAUGCCAAUUGGCUGAUCCUAAGAUCAUAGUGGGUAGAGGGUAGAGCAUGAAAAUAGGGGUGCAUGCCCUGCCUGUGAGCAAAUUCAAACAUCUAAAAGAUAUUGUGAGCUGCUAGCCAGUCAGUAAGACUUGACCAACAGGUGGCUGGUUUGAGACCCCUCAACUAGAGCAUUUGUAGGGCCAGUUGGGGUAGACACCCAGCACCAGGUGAAGCCUCACCCUUCUGCACGCCCAUCCUUCAUACCCAUACUCAGGAAUAGGCUAAGAAGGACUCAGGAAAUGUUUACUCCAUUGAGCAGGGAUGUAGUGGUAAUGCCACUGAAUGCAUUAUCUGAGGAUCCUCUUAGGGAUUGGGAGUCUGUAAGCUAAGAUCAUUUCAAAGAGAAAAAGUCUUUGUAGAAAAAGUCUUUGUAUUAGAUGAUCAGUUCCUCUGGAGUCCAGGAGGUGCAAAUUACUUUUUUCAUUGUCCUCAAACAGAUAACUGUGAUAAGCCUUGAAUGAAGGAGAUAGGAGAAAAAAAAAAAAAAAAAAAAAAAAGCAUGUAUUUAAGCCAUAGAGAACCCAGGGGCAGUCAGUGUUCCUGCUGGGAGGGGACAUCUGGGCUGAGAUGGUGGGGGAGCCCAGAUUCACGUCUCCCCACAUGGCACCGGCUCACUCAGGGGCCUCCGUCCCUCUGGAUGGGAUAGCAGGAAAUACAAAUGCACCAUUUCCAUGUGUUAUUUCUCUCUGCAAGUCCCUGUAGAUGAAUUUGCAAGUUAAAUGCAUUAGGUUACAGCCGCAUCGUAUAAGGCAAGCAACCUACGUCUUAUGAAGAGUGAUCAACCACCUGUUAGGAGCAACUUUUAAGGACUGCCAUACUAAUAACAUAAUAAUAAAAAAACAAUAAUAUAAAUAUAUGCAAAUCCUAUAAUAAGCAUAUACAAAUAAUAUAAAUUUAAAAAAUCAUAAUAUUUUUUGCCUCAUUACCAAAAAUCCUCUUCUAUAAUUUCAAAUGCCUUGUUUUAUAAAUUUGGAUACUCAUGCACACAUAGAGUUACCAGAUAAAAUACAGGACACUCACUUGUAUUUGCAUUUCAGAUAAACUGUCUAAUUUUUGUCUAAGCAUACCACAGGCAAUAUUUAGGAACACUUCCAUCGAAAGAGUAAUACUAAAUACUAAAAUUCAAAGGUGGGGCAUGAGGGUGGCUCAACCAGUCAAGUGUCUGCCUUUGGCCCAGGUCAUGAUCUCAGGGUCCUGGGAUCGAGCCCCACAUUGGGCUCCCUGCUCAGCGAGGAGUCUGCUUCUCCCUCUACUGCUCCCCUUGUUUGUGUGCUCGCUCGCUCUCUCAAAUAAAUAAAAUCUUUUAAGAAAAUAAAAAAAUAAUAAAAUUCUAAUGUAACUGGGCAUCCUAUUUAUCUGCUAAACCUGUUAUCCCUGUCGACACACAUAUACGUUUGUGCGUGUGCCUGCACACACACAAGGACCCAGGUACAGGUACACAAAUACGUGUGUGGGUACACAGAAGACGGGUGUGCAGUGCCUGUGGCUCCAGAUGUGCAUGUGCGUAUGUGCACGUGCACAGACACGCGGAGACCCCCCUGCAGGCGCAGGCGCCCUCCCAUGUCG
rnacentral:lncRNA from 1 species